AUACGGAGGUUCCAAGCGUUGUUCGGAAUUACUGGGCGUAAAGGGAGCGCAGGCGGACAAGUCAGUCUAAAGUGAAAUCCCGGGGCUUAACCUCGGACUUGCUUCGGAUACUGCUUGUCUUGAGUUCGUGAUAGGAAGAUGGAAUUCAGGGUGUAGCGGUGAAAUGCACAGAUAUCCUGAGGAACACCGGUGGCGAAAGCGGUCUUCUGGCGCGAAACUGACGCUGAGGCUCGAAAGCGUGGGUAGC
rnacentral:rRNA from 1 species